rfam:Asian citrus Psyllid, Diaphorina citri - Florida Strain, whole genome shotgun sequence.
GCCUAGUUAGCUUAGUUGGUAGUGCGUCUGCCUUGUAAGCGCUAGGCCGCGGGUUCGAUUCCCACCCGGGGUG